rnacentral:lncRNA from 1 species
GCCAUCUUGAUAAGGGAGUUUCGCAAUAAAGCAUUUGCCGGGUGGGUGACUGAUAGCAAAGCUGUGUUUCCUGGGGAAAAGUGUGGCAUCUUCAGUUUACAUCAACUUGCUCUCAUCUGAGACAAAACUCUGUGUGUCCCUGCUGCGAUGGAUGCCAGAUAGAGCCUGCUUGCCUAGGAUGGGGACAGAUGCCAUUGGAAACAGAUUGCAAGACCAUCACGAUGACUUCACGUCAGUGCCAGCAUAUGCAGCCGUGGAAUACAGUGAGCGCUCUCUGCGGCUGACAGCAAUAGCGGUGAUCUAAUUUACCCGGCGACUGGAAGAAACUCUUUGUACAGGCUCUGGGUCCCUUUGGAUUAGUGACUUCAAGGUCAACUGGAGGAGAAAGGAAGCAGGGCUGAGGGUCACCCUCUCCUGUCUCAUUUGCAUGCUCUUGAAUAUAUGAUUUUAAGAAACAUGCGUUUUUGAUCUGCAAUGUAAAAAUUCCUCAAUGAUUUUUUGUACAGAUGUGCAGAAUACAGGAAUGAAAUAAAAUAUUGAG